GGAGGACGCGGCCGCCCACCGCUGCGCGGGCUCGCCGCGGACGGCCGCUUCCCGGGCCGGCGCCGAGGGAGAGCCGGCCCUGCUCCCCGCCUCGAGGGGCGCCCGCGAUACUUCAAGAGGAGGGAACAUUUUCUAAUUCGUUCUGUGAGGCCAGCAUUGCUCUGAUACCAAAGCAAGGGUCCGUUGUGAGCAUCAAUGAAUUGAGACACACACAAAAAGAUGUGGGACAGGACUCCCAGGAUGAGUGGGCCUUCCUGACGACGUGGGACGUGGAUUCUGGGAAUGAGCCUGAUCCUGGCCUCGAGGGACUGAGAAUGCCUUUUUGACCAAAUGGAGGAAAAGAAAGGCAACAAAAUAAGGUUUUACUGGCUAAGAGAAUUCAGAUAGAGUCAGGAGGUUGUCCUGGAGGUUACUCCCAUGCAAGCUUCACCUAGAUUUGCCAAAUGACCACAAUAGGAUAAACCCAAGUCAUCAGCAGUCCCGAAAACCUUAAAGAAUACCAGAUCCCUUUCUGAGACUCAAUAAAAGUUUCACUCACUGUAUGGCAGCUAAGUCCCAAAACCCAGAGGCAAUAGCCUCUUCAAGAACAUCAACUAGAUGUGUCCCUUUUCCCUUUUCAACAUGAACAGGUUAGGGUAGUCCCUACCUAGACAUCCCCGAAGAUCAGGAAAGUGAUUAAACUAGAGGAAGGGGCAGCAAUAGACUAGAUGGAAUUUAACAAAGGAUUAUAAAUACGAAUCUUUAUAUAAUUUUCUUUUUCUUAGUUGCUAGGGU